rnacentral:rRNA from 1 species
GACGAACGCUGGCGGCGUGCUUAACACAUGCAAGUCGAACGGAAAGGCCCUGCUUUUGUGGGGUGCUCGAGUGGCGAACGGGUGAGUAACACGUGAGUAACCUGCCCUUGACUUUGGGAUAACUUCAAGAAACUGGGGCUAAUACCGGAUAGGAGCUCCUGCUGCAUGGUGGGGGUUGGAAAGUUUCGGCGGUUGGGGAUGGACUCGCGGCUUAUCAGCUUGUUGGUGGGGUAGUGGCUUACCAAGGCUUUGACGGGUAGCCGGCCUGAGAGGGUGACCGGCCACAUGGGGACUGAGAUACGGCCCAGACUCCUACGGGAGGCAGCAGUGGGGAAUAUUGCACAAUGGGCGGAAGCCUGAUGCAGCAACGCCGCGUGCGGGAUGACGGCCUUCGGGUUGUAAACCGCUUUCGCCUGUGACGAAGCGUGAGUGACGGUAAUGGGUAAAGAAGCACCGGCUAACUACGUG